rnacentral:lncRNA from 1 species
UUAUUUUUUUUAGGUCUUUCCACUUUUCUGUGGAAAGACCUAUUGUUUUUCUUCUGAUUAUUUUUUUUUUUUUUUUCUUCCGUCUAAUUUUGUUCUUGCGAUAAAUAUAUGAUUUGCAAUAUGUCGCUUAGAUAUUUGGUAUAUGAUAUCGAACAGUUUAUGCGCCUUUGAAAUUAACCCUGUGUAACCGAAUACUUUUCUUUGUAGGAGUUAUCUCCCCAAACACUGUUUUCCUUGUGUCCACUACUCCUUCGCAACCGUAAAAGAUU